AAAAAUAUUUGUUAGAAUCAAUGUAUGGUUAGAGAUAGUUAUUGAUCUUUUUUUUAAGCUUAUAAAACAUUUUGUUUUAUAAUUUUAAGCAACAUAAUGUGUACCGGUAUAUUUCAUAAUCCUUUCUGGUGAUCAGGCUUGGGAUCACAAUGUCAUGCAUUCAUAUUUUUUUCGUACAUACAAAAUGAAUUAUUUGAAAGUAAAAUUUGGUUUGGGCUACAAUAAACCUCAAUUGUUUAGGGUACCAGACGUUUCUCCCCCAAAUUGGAUGUCAGUUCGCCCUCGCAUGCUUAACCAGUUCGCCCCCACAAAGGUACCAGUUCACCCCCAUAAAGAUUUAUAUGUAUUAAUUAAUUAAUUAAACUGGUGAUUAUGUCAAAUGUGCCCCGACUGACUCAGGAUCCAACCAAAUUGUGGAAAGACGACAAUCCCUCCCCUCUAAGAAAAGAAACACACACACACACACACACGGUUUAACAUGCCUCUAAAGAAAAAUACAGUAAUUGUUUAAAAGUAACAAAUAAUUGGGAUUUGGGGGCGAACUGGUACAUGGAGGGAACAGGCCAAACUGGGGGCAAAAGGUCAUGGAUUCAUUGUAUAUACAAAAAGUAAGUUUGUUUUCUUUAACGACACCACUAGAGCACAUUGAUUUAUUAAUUAUUGGCUAUUGGAUGUCAAACAGGUAAUUUUGACAUAUAAUUUUUGAGAGGGAACAUGCUAAAAAUUAAUUAGUAGCAAUGUAUUUUUAUCUAUGCACCAUCCUACAACAGGAUACUACUUACCAAGAUGAAAUACAUAUGAAAUCGUGCAACAAUUGCCAAUCGAUGCAUACUUUUUGUUUGCUGAGAAUAUAUAUAAAAUUAAAAUAUUUAUACCAUUAUAUUUUGUGUUACCUGUUUACUUCUCUGUUCACUUCACCCCCAACUGUCGGUAUGGAUGCCCCCAAAUAUUUACAACACAUCUUUGGUUGCAUUUUGUAUUUAUAUUAUAAAAAUUGUUUCAUAUUACUUUGACUGGGGUGUGGUAUCAAGCCUUUUCGCCCCAUGCCAGUUAAUUUCUUUUCAAAACGCUUGUCUUCUCUUUUGAAAAAAACUAUAAAACUCUUAAACUGACACAGGAAAAGUCUUGGAUAGGAUAUUGACAUACCUUUGGGGAUGGAUUGGUUUGCAUGAGGAUGAAAUGGACAUUUAUUUUGAUUACAAGAAACACAAGUUAUAUAUAUAUAUUUUUUUUUUUCUUCAGAAAAAUCGUCAGCACAUGCUGGUCAUCAUAUUAUGGAAAUAUUUGUGACUGAAUCCCAUCUGAAUGUUGGAUGACAUAUAUCAAGAUGCCACUGAACAGGACAUAACUGAGGAAAAUGGAUGUGAGAUAAUCCAAUCUAACAGUUGGAAAUAAAUAUAUAUAGUAUU